UAACUGUCAGGCCACAUUAAGCCACAGUACGGAAGAAGCUGUGCUGCCUGUGAGCCCCGUCCAAGGACGUUAAAAGAAGAAGUCAGGCCCCAAAGCCACGGUUUGAGCAAACCGUGCUGCCUGUAGCUCCGUCGUGGGGACGUAAAACCUGGGAGGCUGCAAACUGUGGAAGCUGUACGCACRGUGUAGCAGACUAGCGGUUAGAGGAGACCCCUCCCAUGACACAACGCAGCAGCUGGGCCCGAGCACUGAGGGAAGCUGUACCUCCUUGCAAAGGACUAGAGUUUAGAGC
rnacentral:lncRNA from 1 species